UCCAAAACCCGCUAAUUUUCGGGCCAAGGCUAAAAAUCAUGUCCAAAACCCGUUAAAUUUCGGGCCGGGCUCAUGUUGAUCAGCUCUAGAAUGUUCUAGUUGCUUUGAAUGGAAAUUGAGUGUUCUUCAAUCUGAUGAAUCUAGGUGUGGGCGUCAUUGAUGCUGUAUCGGACAAUCUUGGACAAGAUAGAAAGAAACAACUACGACAACUUAACAAAGCGAGCAAGAUUAGGGAAUGCUGAGAAGCUUAUGUUGCUGCCACUAGCUUAUGCCAAAGCCACAGGGUGUUGACAUUGAUUUUCCUCCAUCAAAUCCAGAAGUUUGAGGGUUCUGUGGGAUUAUUAAACAAGAUGGGCGUGAACAAGGAGCUUCACAACUCGCUCUCUCGAUAAGUUCCUAUGAAUUUCACAAAUGCAGAUUGCCAAAGAAAAAUAGUAUCAUAAAUAAUUGGAUUCCUGAAGUAUCUCUUUCCAUAAUUUAGAGUUUAGUCUUUUGCUUAAAUUUUAAUCAUAGGAUCAUUAUGCACCAUGCUUCCUGUAACAAGGAUUCUGACAUCUUCAAGUUUACCAGACUUUCUGGUCCCUUACCUUUGUGUUCACUACUCAACAAUGCACAAAUGUAUGUUCGCCGACAUAACACUUCUCUAUGUAACUGUACACUGCUUCUGCUAAAGUGUAAUACCAAAAUGCAAAUAUCCGUAAACAA